AUUGAACGCUGGCGGCAGGCUUAACACAUGCAAGUCGAGCGGGGGAAGGUAGCUUGCUACCGGACCUAGCGGCGGACGGGUGAGUAAUGCUUAGGAAUCUGCCUAUUAGUGGGGGACAACAUCUCGAAAGGGAUGCUAAUACCGCAUACGUCCUACGGGAGAAAGCAGGGGAUCUUCGGACCUUGCGCUAAUAGAUGAGCCUAAGUCGGAUUAGCUAGUUGGUGGGGUAAAGGCCUACCAAGGCGACGAUCUGUAGCGGGUCUGAGAGGAUGAUCCGCCACACUGGGACUGAGACACGGCCCAGACUCCUACGGGAGGCAGCAGUGGGGAAUAUUGGACAAUGGGGGGAACCCUGAUCCAGCCAUGCCGCGUGUGUGAAGAAGGCCUUAUGGUUGUAAAGCACUUUAAGCGAGGAGGAGGCUACUUUAGUUAAUACCUAGAGAUAGUGGACGUUACUCGCAGAAUAAGCACCGGCUAACUCUGUGCCAGCAGCCGCGGUAAUACAGAGGGUGCGAGCGUUAAUCGGAUUUACUGGGCGUAAAGCGUGCGUAGG
rnacentral:rRNA from 1 species